rnacentral:rRNA from 1 species
GAUGAACGCUGACAGAAUGCUUAACACAUGCAAGUCUUUGGCGAAGCUGUGCUUGCACAGCCUAGCCAAGGCGGACGGGUGAGUAACGCGUAAGGAACUUGCCCUGCAGUCAGGGAUAACAGACGGAAACGACUGAUAAGACCUGGUAAAGUCAGGCGGACUCAUGUCCAGCCUGAUGAAAAGAGAUGCUGCAGGAGAGCCUUGCGUCCUAUUAGCUUGUUGGUGGGGUAACGGCCCACCAAGGCGAUGAUAGGUAGCCGGCCUGAGAGGGUGGACGGCCACAAGGGGACUGAGAUACGGCCCUUACUCCCACGGGAGACAGCAGUUGGGAAUAUUUGACAAUGGGGGCAACCCUGAUCCAGCAAUUCUGUGUUCAAGAUGAAGGUUUUCGGAUUGUAAAGUGCUUUCAGCAGGGAAGAAAAAAUGACGGUACCUGCAGAAGAAGCGACGGCUAAAUACGU